UACAGAGGUCUCAAGCGUUGUUCGGAUUCAUUGGGCGUAAAGGGUGCGUAGGUGGCGCGGUAAGUCGGGUGUGAAAUCUCGGAGCUUAACUCCGAAAUUGCAUUCGAUACUGCCGUGCUUGAGGACUGGAGAGGAGACUGGAAUUUACGGUGUAGCGGUGAAAUGCGUAGAUAUCGUAAGGAAGACCAGUGGCGAAGGCGGGUCUCUGGACAGUUCCUGACGCUGAGGCACGAAGGCCAGGGGAGCAAACGGG
rnacentral:rRNA from 1 species